rnacentral:rRNA from 1 species
GACGAACGCUGGCGGCGUGCUUAACACAUGCAAGUCGAACGGAAAGGCCCUGCUUUUGUGGGGUGCUCGAGUGGCGAACGGGUGAGUAACACGUGAGUAACCUGCCCUUUACUUUGGGAUAACUUCAGGAAACUGGGGCUAAUACCGGAUAGGAGCUCCUGCUGCAUGGUGGGGGUUGGAAAGUUUCGGCGGUUGGGGAUGGACUCGCGGCUUAUCAGCUUGUUGGUGGGGUAGUGGCUUACCAAGGCUUUGACGGGUAGCCGGCCUGAGAGGGUGACCGGCGACAGUGGGACUGAGAUACGGCCCAGACUCCUACGGGAGGCAGCAGUGGGGAAUAUUGCACAAUGGGCGGAAGCCUGAUGCAGCAACGCCGCGUGCGGGAUGACGGCCUUCGGGGUGUAAACCGCUUUCGCCUGUGACGAAGCGUGAGUGACGGUAAUGGGUAAAGAAGCACCGGCUAACUACGUG